rnacentral:rRNA from 1 species
CCUACGGGAGGCAGCAGUGGGGGAUAUUGCACAAUGGGGGGAACCCUGAUGCAGCGACGCCGCGUGGGUGAAGAAGCGCCUCGGCGCGUAAAGCCCUGUCAGCAGGGAAGAAAAUGACGGUACCUGAAGAAGAAGCCCCGGCUAACUACGUGCCAGCAGCCGCGGUAAUACGUAGGGGGCAAGCGGUCUCCGGAUUUACUGGGUGUAACGGAGGCGCAGACGGCGUAGCAAGCCAGGAGUGAAAGCCCGGGGGCCAACCCCGGGACGGCUCUUGGAACUGCGGUGCUGGAGUGCAGGAGGGGCAGGCGGAAUUCCUGGUGUAGCGGUGAAAUGCGUAGAUAUCAGGAGGAACACCGGUGGCGAAGGCGGCCUGCUGGACUGCAACUGACGUUGAGGCCCGAAAGCGUGGGGAGCAAACAGGAUUAGAUACCCGAGUAGUC